UUUUAACCUGAACUAAGAUUGGAGACUACGAGCAAUAGCUUAAAAACCCAAGAUUUUGGCGGUGUUUUAUUCUAUCAGGGGGACCUGUUCUAUAAUUCGACAGUCCACGCAUAAACCUUACCCCCUCUAGAUAUCAGCAUGUGUACUGCCGUCCAAUAAGCCCCUAAAGCAACUUAUAAUAAUUAACCAAACAUACGUCAGGUCAAAGUGCAGCUUACCGGGGGGGAAAGAAUGGGUCACAGCCUAUACUAUAGCAAAAAGUAAAUUAAUUGCUAAUUUAUAAUUCAGGACUUGAUAGUAACUUUGUUUAAGUAGCAAAUUGAAUAGGAACCUAAAACAAGC
rnacentral:rRNA from 1 species